rnacentral:lncRNA from 1 species
AUGGGGAUAAGUAAAUAGAGAACUCCUCAGGAGAAAUUAGCGUGAGAUAUCCACAAGAAGUAGUUGAGAGCUCCUGAUUCCCCUGCUGACCCUUCCAUCAGCCCCCUUGCUGGAGGAGUGGCCUUGCUGUUGAGUUCAUCCCUUUUUCCCCAGCACAAUGUCUGGUAUCAAGUACAGGCUCAACAAACACAGGUCGAAUUAAUGAAUAAAUAACUAGUGCAAUGGCUCUCACUCCCUUUUCAGCUCUGAACCAUUCUUGAAGCUACUCUCCCUGCCAACACUGUGGGGGCAACAAAGACUCACCAGUGCCAUGGUGGCCUUGGAGGCAGCUACCAGAGGGCAAGAGGCUGGGCUUAAAAAAAAAAAACAGCACGUGGACAGAAAGAACCCAAUGUCCAUCCCCAGUAAUACAUAACAAGCACUAGCCACGUAUUUCCCGAGUGCAUGGGAGGCAGCGGCCACUUCCUGGGUCUGCAGUGAAGAGCACAGACAGGCAGAGGAAGUGGUGAAAGAGGAUGCUCCAGUUAGAACCAGAACCCUGAGCACCUAAUGACCGAGAGGUUGAACAACCUGCGAUUGGUAAUUUACACCCUGAUGAAGGGAGUGAAGGUGGUGGAACGCCUCAAUGGUGAGACAAGAGAAUCCAGACAGGACAUGAAGGGACAUGUGCCCUGGGACGAAGACCACCCUGACGGCACGCAAGCCAAUACUUCACGGGGGCACCUACUGUACAGCUCGUCGUUCACGGCCGGAGUUGGACUCUUUCUCGGGACGCAUCCUUCCGCCCAUCAAGCACCUUAUAUGUAGUACACUUAGCUAUUUUCUCAGAAAAAAAAAUAAUCGGCUGAGAAGGAGUUCUGUUUCCAUUGUUCCAAUAAUUUUCAGCUUGGAGCGCGGAUUGGGGAUGUUUCAGGCUUGGCUGCCUGGCGGUUCCAUCUGUGUUGCUCUACUCCCAUCUACUGAUAAAAGGCUGCUACUUCUCCAGGAGCGCUCCUCGACGCCCUCUCCAGUGUGGACCACUACUGCAGGAGAAUCUGGAGCUGUUGGAAGUCACUUGGCCUUGGAGAUUAUCUGCCCGUGUGUCUGUUCUGAGGGUAAUUACCAGUACCCUAGUUUACUGACUGCUCUUUAA